rnacentral:rRNA from 1 species
AUUGAACGCUGGCGGCAGGCCUAACACAUGCAAGUCGAGCGGAUGAUGGGAGCUUGCUCCUUGAUUCAGCGGCGGACGGGUGAGUAAUGCCUAGGAAUCUGCCUGGUAGUGGGGGACAACGUUUCGAAAGGAACGCUAAUACCGCAUACGUCCUACGGGAGAAAGCAGGGGACCUUCGGGCCUUGCGCUAUCAGAUGAGCCUAGGUCGGAUUAGCUAGUUGGUGGGGUAAUGGCUCACCAAGGCGACGAUCCGUAACUGGUCUGAGAGGAUGAUCAGUCACAAUGGAACUGAGACACGGUCCAGACUCCUACGGGAGGCAGCAGUGGGGAAUAUUGGACAAUGGGCGAAAGCCUGAUCCAGCCAUGCCGCGUGUGUGAAGAAGGUCUUCGGAUUGUAAAGCACUUUAAGUUGGGAGGAAGGGCAGUAAGCUAAUACCUUGCUGUUUUGACGUUACCGACAGAAUAAGCACCGGCUAACUCUGUGCCAGCCGCCGCCGUAAUAC